rnacentral:rRNA from 1 species
UAGGGAAUCUUCGGCAAUGGGGGCAACCCUGACCGAGCAACGCCGCGUGAGUGAAGAAGGUUUUCGGAUCGUAAAGCUCUGUUGUAAGUCAAGAACGGGUGUGAGAGUGGAAAGUUCACACUGUGACGGUAGCUUACCAGAAAGGGACGGCUAACUACGUGCCAGCAGCCGCGGUAAUACGUAGGUCCCGAGCGUUGUCCGGAUUUAUUGGGCGUAAAGCGAGCGCAGGCGGUUUGAUAAGUCUGAAGUUAAAGGCUGUGGCUCAACCAUAGUUCGCUUUGGAAACUGUCAAACUUGAGUGCAGAAGGGGAGAGUGGAAUUCCAUGUGUAGCGGUGAAAUGCGUAGAUAUAUGGAGGAACACCGGUGGCGAAAGCGGCUCUCUGGUCUGUAACUGACGCUGAGGCUCGAAAGCGUGGGGAGCGAACAGGAUUAGAUACCCUGGUAGUCCACGCCGUAAACGAUGAGUGCUAGGUGUUGGAUCCUUUCCGGGAUUCAGUGCCGCAGCUAACGCAUUAAGCACUCCGCCUGGGGAGUACGACCGCAAGGUUGAAACUCUAAAGUG